rnacentral:rRNA from 1 species
CCUACGGGCGGCAGCAGUGAGGAAUAUUGGUCAAUGGGCGGGAGCCUGAACCAGCCAAGUCGCGUGAGGGAUGACGGCCCUAUGGGUUGUAAACCUCUUUUAUGUGGGAGCAAAGUGACGCACGUGUGCGGUUUGGAGAGUACCCGGAGAAAAAGGAUCGGCUAACUCCGUGCCAGCAGCCGCGGUAAUACGGGGGAUGCGAGCGUUAUCCGGAUGUAUUGGGUUUAAAGGGCGCGAGGGCGGUGGUGAAGGUCAGCGGGAAAAUUGCGGGGCUCAACCCCGGACGGCCGUUGAUACUGCAUGCCUUGAGUGCGGGAGAGGUAUGCGGAAUGCGUGGUGUAGCGGUGAAAUGCUUAGAUAUCACGCAGAACUCCGAUUGCGAAGGCAGCAUCCCGG